CGGCAGGCUGAGAGCCGCCUCGGGCGGGGCGCCCUGACUGGCGGGCUGGCGGCUUGGGGGCGGAAGGUCGCACGGCACCGGCCAUCCGGCGGGGACCGGGAAGGCUGUGGGGCCCGGCGGGGAGGAGGUUCGGAGUUUGCAGAUCCAGGAUCGGCCGGAGAUGUGGACUCAGAGACUCCCAGAGGCGAUGUGACCUCCCCACAAGGGUCAGAGGUGGAGCUCGACGACUGAUGUGUUUUUCCACUCCACGUCGGGGCCAAGUGGAUUGUCACUGACUCCACUUGGAGUCUUUCAAAAAACAGCCAGAAGAGUCUUGAGCUCCCAUCAACAGGCCACUGGAGCUGCCAGCACUUUGGAACUGAACUUGUGGAAGGGAAGCAAGGGUGAGCGUCAGGCCCUGGGGGGCCGAUGGCCGGCAGAUGGCGGGAUCCACACUGGGCGCUGAGUGCACUCUCUGUACCACUGAUGAUGGGAACAGUGUCCGGAGCCAGGGGCACAUCAACAGGGCUCCACAUUACCCCCCUGUUUGCAGCCUCAGGUGUGAACCAGACCCCCAUGGCAGAUUGUCGCACCGUGUGUGGCUUGAAUGUCUCUGACCGCUGUGUCUUCAUCCGAACCAACCCUGACUGCCACAGCUCGGGGGGGUUCCUGGACUACCUUGAAGGCAUCUUCUGCCACUUCCCAUCCAACCUCCUCCCUCUGGCCGUCACCCUCUAUGUGUUCUGGCUGCUUUACCUGUUUCUGAUCCUGGGAGUCACCGCGUCAAAGUUGUGAGUUUGUCCUUGGGCUUCCGUCUUGUUGAUGAAUGGGAAAACAAAAUCCCAGGAGGCUCCCUGGAGACCCUGGGUCUGGGGGACAGCUGGGGCAGGAGCCGGUCAUGGUGGAUGUGCUGAUCGUUUGCUUUCCCUCCAUAGUUUCUGCCCUAACUUGUCGGCCAUUUCUACUACGCUUAAACUCUCUCACAACGUAGCAAUAUCCUUCCAUCAGGUUUCCUCCUGCAGGGGGAAGGGUGGACGGGGAAGGGGAGAGGCUGGGGCACAGAGUGGCCACUCACAGCCCAGGAAAGGCCUUGCACAGAGUCCCCUUGACAUGCUUCCUCCAUGGUGUCACCUUCCUGGCGUUUGGGAAUGGCGCUCCUGACAUCUUCAGUGCCAUGGUGGCUUUCUCAGACCCCCGCACAGCCAGCCUGGCCAUCGGGGCUCUGUUUGGUAAGUGUGACCCUAGCGGGCAUGGGUAGGGGUGGCCCAGGAGUGCCAGUGUCCGAGCACUGUCCUGCUGUCUUCCAGGUGCGGGCGUGCUGGUCACCACCGUGGUGGCUGGAGGUAUCACCAUCCUGCGUCCCUUCAUGGCUGCCUCCAGGCCCUUUCUCAGGGACAUCGCCUUCUACAUGGUGGCUGUGUUCCUGACCUUCACUGCGCUUACCGUGGCAGGGUCACGCUGGUGUGGGCCCUGGGUGAGCAGUCCAGGCCCAGCACAGGCAGAGGCUCAGGAAGUCUCUGGGGACCAGGGAGGCGAUGGGGGUGGCUGGAGGGAGGGGUGUUUGAUUUGC
rnacentral:lncRNA from 1 species